GUGCCAGCAGCCGCGGUAAUACGUAUGGGGCGAGCGUUGUUCGGAAUUAUUGGGCGUAAAGGGCGUCUAGGCGGGAAAUUAAGUUAGGUGUGAAAGCUAUGGGCUCAACCCAUAAACUGCAUCUAAAACUGAUUUUCUUGAGUUCGGGAGAGGAGAGCGGAAUUCCAGGUGUAGCGGUGAAAUGCGUAGAUAUCUGGAAGAACACCAGUGGCGAAGGCGGCUCUCUGGCCUAGAACUGACGCUGAAGCGCGAAAGCGUGGGGAGCGAACAGGAUUAGAUACCCUUGUAGUCC
rnacentral:rRNA from 1 species